rnacentral:rRNA from 1 species
UACGGAGGGGCAAGCGUUGUUCGGAAUUACUGGGCGUAAAGGGCGCGCAGGCGGCUGCUCAAGUCAGGCGUGAAAGGCCUGGGCUCAACCCGGGAAUUGCGCUUGAGACUGGCUGGCUUGAGUGCGGGAGAGGAUGGUGGAAUUCCCAGUGUAGAGGUGAAAUUCGUAGAUAUUGGGAAGAACACCGGUGGCGAAGGCGGCCAUCUGGACCGCAACUGACGCUGAGGCGCGAAGCGUGGGAGCA